rnacentral:lncRNA from 1 species
AUACGAAACUGGCUUGACACUCGGAUCUAUUAAAAAUACUGAAAAAUACAUACUAUAUCUGUAUCAGAAUUCCAAAACCAAAAACAAUUCACAGUCUGCAUUGCAUACAUAAUGAGUCUAGAAAAGUAGAACCCGUGCCCAUAUGGGAUAAACCAACAAAAGGAUUAUGCCAAACAACAUGGCUCUUCGCGACAGAAUUCCUGAACCCAAUUGAUGCUCGGAUGUGUUCUUGCAAAAAAUAAAACCUGACGACAAGACAUAUUGCAACAGCAUUCUAGCUACGCCUUAUGAAAUGUUCCUCUACCUGAUCAGCCUAAAAGAGAGACAUAUCUGGAGGCGGUCCAUAAAAACUCUGCCAUGAAAAUGAAAUUGUCCAUUUACCACCUUCAUUGCCUGAAUAUGGUCAAAUAGAAGAGAUUAGUAACAACAGUAUUAAAGGAAGUAACACUACCUAAAGAAGCUACAACAAUGCUUAACUGAAAGUACAAAUGUACAAUGGACUUAAAACUUGUAAAUUGUUAAUCCCUUUAAACAACUCCUUCACACACUAAAUCUCAUUCAUUGUUUUAAAACAACACUUGUCAUAGUUAUAUUUAUAAGCAAAGCAAAUAUAUGUACGCGCCGUAACAACUAUGACAAUUAAACAGAAUAUGCUUGAAGGAGGGGAACAACUAUAACAAGGAACCAUGCUAAACACAGCAAAAACAAAGGUGACAAUUAUUUUAGGGAUUCCACGAAAGGAAGAUGAAAGAUAAAAACGCAAAAGAACCAACUUACCUUGAACAUUAUUAUUGUUCAAUCCCACUAGUUUGCUUGCUGCUUCAGCCAACUGGAAUGAAUCAGUUAUGUUGUCUCCUUCUGAGCAAUAGCAUAAUAAGCAAGUGACCUUCAAACCUUUUGCCUUUUGGAUAAAUAAAACAUGAAAAAUUUCAAUCUAGUUCAGAAAAUAUUGUAGUCAGGACAAUAUAUAUAUAUAAGCCUUUUAAAGUUAAAAAUAAAUUUCUUAGGGCAUGAGAAAAACCGAAACUUUGAACUUGAAAUAGUGUUAUCAUUGUUGUUGUGGUGUUAUUUGAAUUCAAGGACAGUGAAAAGUAUGAUAGAAAGAGUGAAAAAUUGCCUACCAAACUUUGACUAGCCUGUCCCCCAUACCAUUUUUACAUAAAAUUUCUGAAGCAUGGUGAUGGUCACAAGGAGACAGUUCUAUUAUAACCAUCACAAAAUAUUUAGUUCUAAACUAUUGAGUUACUUCUCUACAAUAUAAUCAUAUCAAAGGUUCACAAGUAAUUGAAAAGGGUGGAAAUCACAAGAAGUAACCUGAAUAGUAACCCAAACAACCACUGCAAGAGGAACCCAAUUGGAGAGAGAAAAGACCCAUUUCUCAAUUGACCAAAAAACUAAAACCAAAGGAAAUGCAAGUGGGAGAAAAGGUUAAAGAACUCAAUAGCAUCAUUCAAAUCAUAACUCCUCUUUAUACAGGUUAUUUAUUAUGCAUCACUACAAAAAUUUCUUUACAUAUUACGAACUAUGAAUUUAGGUUAUAAUUGAAAAUUUUCACAUAAUGUUAGAUUUUUUCUUAUCUAAGAUAAAAUCACAAUCUUCAGCUAAGCAUUUCAACAAACGAAUUAUGAACAUGAUUAGAUUAUAAAUCAAUAAUUGAG